AUUGAACGCUGGCGGCAUGCUUUACACAUGCAAGUCGAACGGUAACAGGGAGCUUGCUCCGCUGACGAGUGGCGAACGGGUGAGUAAUGCGUCGGAACGUGCCGAGUAGUGGGGGAUAACGCAUCGAAAGGUGUGCUAAUACCGCAUACGAACUGAGGUUGAAAGUGGGGGACCUUCGGGCCUCACGCUAUUCGAGCGGCCGACGUCUGAUUAGCUAGUUGGUGAGGUAAAGGCUCACCAAGGCGACGAUCAGUAGCGGGUCUGAGAGGAUGAUCCGCCACACUGGGACUGAGACACGGCCCAGACUCCUACGGGAGGCAGCAGUGGGGAAUUUUGGACAAUGGGCGCAGGCCUGAUCCAGCCAUGCCGCGUGUCUGAAGAAGGCCUUCGGGUUGUAAAGGACUUUUGUCCGGGAGCAAAUGCUGGUGGCUAACAUCCACCAGAGCUGAGGGUACCGGAAGAAUAAGCACCGGCUAACUACGUGCCAGCAGCCGCUGUAACAC
rnacentral:rRNA from 1 species